UUCUUUGGUGUGAAUUUAGUAGAGCUGUUUGUGUUUCCAAAGACUAAAGACUUUUUAAAGUCCAAGAGCCUUUUCGUUGUUAUUUGUGUCCAUUGAUUGUACACACACACUCAGGUGCUAAGAAUCAAACCCUGCACAUCUUAUCUUGUAUGCUAAGUAGGUGCUUACAACUGAACUAUUUCUAGACUGUUUUUAUUGUGCAAGAGACAUCUAAGCAAAAGAACUAGCUAUGCUUUAGUGCUUGAACGUUUGUAAUCCACAAGGUAGGUACUUCAGCUCAUUGGCUAUACACUUAAGUCACCCAUACAGGGUACUUCUAAAAAAUACUCGUGUCAGAACUCACUUCUGGAGAGUACCGUGUACUGGUCAGGUGUCCAGACCCUGGUAAUUGUAUAAAGUUCCCUCAGGUGAUACAGAAAGCAGUCAGGGUCAAGAGCCACUGUUGCGGUGAAUUGACUCAAAUUUUCAGAGCAAGAUAUUUAACACAACAGUAUCACAAUGAAACCACCAAGAACAGGUGGUCCCAGCAAACCCCAGAGAAAUAGUGCCUGUUUCCACUUCCAUGUAUAUAAGAAGCCAACCUAGCUUGAAUUCUGUCCCAGUAGAGCAGAUAUUAGACCUCUUAAAACCAUGUCUUGAAGACUUCUCCAUUGGUGCUGGUAUCUGGUCUCUCCUAGCAGUCUUCAAAGGCUACUGGUUCUGCUAGGCAUCUUGUAUGUUCCUACGCAGCUCUGCUGCAUUCCCUUCCAACUAUAGACAUCUGAAGAGGACUGAGCAGCACUCAGAAUUCCUUCCAUUCCCCGGGGGGCCCACACGGAGAGGUCAGGCUCUGCUGCCUUCCAGGCAUCACCAGGGAAGCAGACUAGCAUAGGACAAGGCUCACCUCAGCCCUCCUUCUCACUGCUCUUGCUUCUUUUUAACUGCACAGUGAAUGGCCUCCAAGCCCGGACCUUUGGGAUCUGGACGCUGCUCUCAUCAGUGAUUCGCUGCCUCUGUGCCAUUGACAUCCACAACAAAACGUACGUCAGGGAAAGAAGGCCUCUGGUGUCCGUGUGUUGGCAGUGACGCUCCGCUCACGUGCCCGGCUACUGUUGGUACCUGUUGAGUCACUUUACUGCAUUAGCAUAGCGCAGAGAAAAUGAGAGUCCUUCCAGGCCUGAAAUACAUACAGGCCUAACAUCCAUAGCAAAUAGCACGGCACUGUCCUUGGUUGGCGACACGCCCGUGAUUAGAGCACACCUUUCCCCUAUGAAGAACUAGCGUGCCUGCUCAGUUCAGCCUCAGGGUUUGGUUUGGUGUCCUUUAGAAGGACCUUGAGCAUUGCUGACAAAUGCUCAGGCGCCCGGCUGCACUGCUAGUCCUGUAAACACCUUCUGCACCUUCCUCCUUAAUCAGAAAUCCACG
rnacentral:lncRNA from 1 species